UUACUCAACCAUUCCUACUCCUCAACCAACAACAGAUCAUGCUACAUAAACCUGCCAGCACAGAGCAGCAGCAGUUACCUUACAACUCUACAGCAGGAUACACAUCUGAAAUGAUACAGAAGCAAAGAUUGGGCAUCGCUGAUUCUUUGAAUUGAUUCUUUGUCUACCAUCAUCAACUUUCUCAUUGACUAAAAUGUGGAUAUAUCUUUAUAUAAUGUCAUUUCUCCUGAAGAUUUCUCAAUGUGAAGACCUCAUUUAUCAUGUAGAAGAAGGCAAGAUGCCUGGUACAUUAGUUGGUGACAUUGCAGCAGACACACAUUUGUUUGAUCGCAUACCUGUACAAGAGCACAAUCUACUUUGGUUCAGCCACUUAAAAGAAACUAUUAUCAAUGGAUCACAGUUAUUUAAUGUCUCUAAGACAGGUAAACUUUACACAUCUCAAAUAGUUGAUGCUGAUGUUCUAUGUAAAUUCAACACUGAAUGCUUCAAAAUGGUGGAUAUAGCGGUCCGAAAUGAAGAAUCUUUCGUCAAAAUAUUAGAAAUUAAAGUUGUUGUGGAAGAUGUCAAUGAUCAACGACCUGAGUUCCCAGUCAAGCAAGUCAAUAUUCAAUUUGAUGAAACAGAUGGCAAAGGAACUAUAAAAUUUGUUCCAACUGCUAAAGACAGAGAUGUGAGUCUUAUUAACUCACAAAUUACAUACCAGCUGAAGAAAGAUAUAGAAAAAACAUUUUCAUUAUCAAUUACAGAAAAGACAGAUUCAACAAUUAAACUUGGAAUCGUUUUGGAAGGAGAAGUUGACAGAGAAAGGAAAGAUAAUUAUAAGCUUCAAAUUAUUGCAACAGAUGGAGGAUCUCCUUCAAAGUUUGGUGUUUUGGAUGUGCUAAUAACUGUGAUCGAUGAAAAUGAUAACUCACCAAUCUUUUCUCAGAAUAUUUAUAAUAUUUCUAUUAGUAACAGAAAUGAACAAAAUAAAGCAAUUAUAAUAUUAUCAGCAAAUGAUAUAGAUUCAGGAGAAAAUGGCAAAAUCACAUACCACUUUAGCUCAAAAACUUCAAAUCUUGCAAAAUCAUAUUUUCAUUUGAAUGAGAAAACAGGAGAAAUAAUUUUAAAGAAAAAAGUUCCUUUUGUAUCCAAAAAGUCUUAUAAAUUAUUUGUGGAAGCUACUGAUGGGGGAAAUCCACCAUCGACUUCAACAGCUAUUGUAUUUGUUCAUGUAAAUAACAAUGAAAACAGUGCUCCUGUUAUUGAUAUUAACUUUAUUUCAAAAUCUACAGGAAACACUGCCAUUAUUUCAGAAGGAGUGAAAAUUAACAGUUUCAUAGCUUAUGUAAAGGUCACAGAUAAUGACGUUGGAAUGAAUGGCAAAAUUAUAUGCAAUCUUCGUCAUGAUAAAAUUCAGCUUCAAAGUCUAGGAAAGAAAAAAUACAAAUUAGUUGUAAAAAAAUCAUUAGACAGAGAAACAGAAAGCCAUAUUGAUCUCACGAUUUCUUGUGAAGACAAAGGAUUUCCACCAUUACAAACAGAUCACAGUUUUUCAAUCCAAGUUAUGGAUAUUAAUGAUAUUCAACCACAAUUUACAAAAGCUACAUUCAGGUUUUCAGUCUAUGAAAAUGAAGAACCUAAGUUCUCAAUAGGUUUUGUCAAUGCUACUGAUCCAGAUCUUGUUGCUGGAUCUCAGUUAACCUACUCUCUUAUAGGUUCUAAUAGACAUAUUCCAUUUUCCAUAUCUGAUUUUGGUUUUAUUUCAACUACUCAGUCACUUGACCGUGAAAAGCAAGAUCUUUAUCGGUUUAAAAUAAUGGCUAAAGACAAUGGAAUACCUUCUCUUAACAACACAGCUAACGUUGUUGUUGAAGUUAUGGAUAAAAAUGAUAAUGCUCCCUAUUUUACUUUCCCUAGUUUUAACCCUUUCAAUUUAGAUGUCCAUUACCAUCCACAGAGUAAGAGUGACAUCACAACAUUAAGAGCCUCCGACAGAGACAGUCAUGUGAAUGCUUUCCUCAAAUAUGAAAUACUUGGCGGUAACAACAAGCAGUUAUUUACAGUCAACCCUUACACAGGAGUUUUGUCAUUCUCUCGAACAGUUUACCAAAAUGAUGCUGGAUCAUAUAAUCUGAUAUUAACUGUCAAAGACAACGGCAUACCAGUUUUAUCAGCAACAACUACACUGUCUUUGACACUUACUGUUAGCAAUACAACAGCCAGAAUGUACAUCUCUGAAGACAGAGAGUCAGACAACAGAAUACAUAUUAACUUGAUGAUUAUUAUAGUAGUAGCAGCAGUGAUAGUUUCUGUUGCUAUUGUUGUAUCUUUCAUUAUGUGUAUAAUCCAAAGGAAAAGCACAAAGGAUAGUCGAUUUACUGGGAGUGUAGGCACACAUAAUGACAUUUUAAAUGAAAGGAGACAGUCUGAAUAUACUUGUGAAGAAAUAUCUCCUAAAUAUGAUAUUCCAAUUACUAUGUUAACUUGCACUGAUAACUUUCCGACAACUCUAAUAAGAGAGCCACACUCACAAUAUGAGACUAAUCACUGUUGGGAAGGAUCUUCCAUAGGGAAACACAGCAAAACUAUUUCAAAACGGGCACACCCUAUGUAAAAGUGGGGAUGCGGACUAGUCCAAAUGCAGCUUAGUUUCCAGUGAAAACGGAAAAUGCAGACAGUAGAGAUUAUAUCAAGGGAGGUAAUGGUCCUUUCAAUGAAAUGCCAACAAUCUCUGGACAUGCUGAGAGUGAACAUGACUGGAGUGAGAGAGCUACUGUCCAGUAUGAAACUUUGCCAG